rnacentral:tRNA from 1 species
AUUCAAAUAGCUUAAUUAAGAGCAUAAUAUUGAAGAUAUUAAGGUAAUUUUAAAUUUUUGGAUA